rnacentral:rRNA from 1 species
UACGUAGGGGGCAAGCGUUGUCCGGAUUUAUUGGGCGUAAAGAGCGUGUAGGCGGUUCGGUAGGUCCGUUGUGAAAACUCGAGGCUCAACCUCGAGACGCCGAUGGAAACCAUCGAACUAGAGUCCGGAAGAGGAGAGUGGAAUUCCUGGUGUAGCGGUGAAAUGCGCAGAUAUCAGGAAGAACACCCGUGGCUAAGGCGGCCCUCUAGUACGGUACUGACGCUGAGACGCGAAAGCGUGGGGAGCGAACAGG